rnacentral:rRNA from 1 species
AUUGAACGCUGGCGGCAUGCCUUACACAUGCAAGUCGAACGGCAGCACGGGAGCAAUCCUGGUGGCGAGUGGCGAACGGGUGAGUAAUAUAUCGGAACGUGCCCAGUCGUGGGGGAUAACGCAGCGAAAGCUGUGCUAAUACCGCAUACGAUCUAAGGAUGAAAGCGGGGGACCGCAAGACCUCGCGCGAUUGGAGCGGCCGAUAUCAGAUUAGCUAGUUGGUGGGUUAAAGGCCCACCAAGGCGACGAUCUGUAGCUGGUCUGAGAGGACGACCAGCCACACUGGAACUAGGUCACGGUCCGGGCUCCCACGGGAGUCAGCAGUGGGGAAUUUUAGACAAUGGGCGCAAGCCUGUGCCAGCAAUGCCGCGUGCAGGAGGAAGGCCUUCGGGUUGUAAACUGCUUUUGUACGGAACGAAACGGCCCUUUCGAAUACAGGGGGCUAAUGGCGGUACCGUAAGAAUAAGCACCGGCUAACUACGUGCCAGCAGCCGCCGUAA